CCGCGGCUAAUUGGGGCGCGUGCCACCGCCGCCGGGGCGCGGUCCGGGGCCUGCGUCUGCAUCUGCGCAGGGACGUGGGCUCCGGCACUCACGCGGGCCUGGACUGCGGACUUAGACUGGACCUCACCUUGGACUGGGACCUGGACCCUGCUCCGGCCUUCGGCGAAGAAAGACACUUGCUUAAAUGCGACAGACACCGGACCUCGGACCCCAGUCCAGACGCGGACUCGAGCCCUGGACCCGAACCCGGACCUGGACCUGGACCUGGACGCGGACCUCAGAGCCGCUCCCGCCUGGCCCUGGCCCAGGCUUCUGACUCCGUCCCGGACCCCAGAACCCCAGGCGCCCGACCUGUCCGCGCCUGGAGCUGACUCCUGCCAGCGCGGGCCGGGACCCCCGCUCGGACGCGGUCUGGACCCACUCCCAGCCCCAAGCGCACCCAGGUCAUACUCCGGGCCUCGGUCGGACCUGGCGCGUGCGGAUGCAGCCCGCGGCCCUCGCUGCAGCUUGGGGGUUACCUGUAGGAGGCGCGUCGAGGCGGGCUACCGCUGCCCUCCCCCCGGCUGGCUCCCGCGGCCACCUGGGGGCCUGCCACCUGGAGGGAGGGUCCAGGCCCUGGAACGCUCCCCGCAGAGCUCUUAAGGGCCUCAGCGGGAUGUGGAGAGGUCCUCCGUCGUCGGUUUUCGUUUUCUGCUCCUCUUCCUACUUGGAAGGCUCUGUCAGUUGCUUCAUGAAAGAAAAUGCAGAAUCCCCCGAGGAGGGAAAGAGCACCCCCAGGCCCUUCUGCACGGCCUCAACCCGCUUUCUUCCUCCACAUCGCCCCACCUUUCCAGCUCAGGAUGCGAGUGCAGUGGCAUUCCUUACCAGUGUCCUGAGGUCUCUGUUUCCCCUCAAUGUUGUAAUUUUUAUUCCGAGACGCUUUUGAGACUUAGUUCCUUGUGAUUUAAGAAAAUGGUUUCUGUUGUUUUAAAAACACCUUUUCUCUCGUAAUUAGGUGCAAAAGAGAAACCAGAAAAGGACUCCUGGAAGCCCUGGCCUUUGAAGAUUGACUGAGUGGUCCCCAGGCCUUGGCAUCGCUGGGCAAUAGCCCUCUGGCCUUAGUCUCCGUUAGUCCGAACUUUUGUUCUCCAGAUGUGACUACAGCUUAGGCUUUGCCAGGAAGACUUUGAAAUGAGAAUUUGUUUCUGAGCUUGUUGAUCGUGGGGCAGAAUUUGGUUUCAAGAAAGCUCGGUGUUCCCGAGCUGCUGGGGCCUGCCUUGUGAGGGUGGCACUGGGUGAGAAUCCUGCCUUGUACCAGGAGCAGGGCGAGGCAGGGGCAUUGGUGACUUUGCCUGUGUGUUGCGCAAAUCUGUGCCUGUGGAAGGAGCGUCCACGGAGGAGAGCCUUGUGAUUCCCGUUUCCCUAGACAGCUUCCCAGAUAACCCGCUCCUUUUUGUCGGUCUUCCCUCAUUUCUACCUCGUCUUUCUCUUUCCCAAGGAGCGAUUAUUCCAUCUACUAGUGUAAGUUUGCCUCUGUGGGAUGCUGAGGUCCAUGCCCGGACCUCUGAAGGAGAAAGCUGGCUCAAGGAGCCGGUCAGCAGCUGCUCUUGCUGACCUGACACCUUGACUUUCCCCACCAGUCUCACCGCCUGCUGAGUCUGGACCUUUACACUGAGGCUGUGGGGCAGGUGCCUACCAGAGUCACAGAGCCCGGGUGGGGCUCAGGUGGGGUCCAGAACCCCCUGGCUGCUUGACCAGGGAGGUUGCAGUUGCAGGGCACUGGCCCCUGGCACACAAAGGCAGUGGAUGGCACAUAUUCGGAUCCUGCAGCUCAGGCCAGGCAGCUUUGUGACAAGAACUCUUGCGGGCUCGGUGGGGAGCUUGUGUCUGUGAUUUUGUACCCCAGUCUAUCCAUCCAAGGCUGGUUUUGAGGGGUUGGUCAGGUUUUGAACCUGGCAGAGAAUGGUGGGAGACUCAGAGGACCAAAAUUGGCUGCAGGGCUCAGGCCGGGGUGGCCAAAGCUGGACUAGGUCAGGGCAGUUCUGGCGCCAAGGUUUCAAAGGGGCUCUGUUUUUCCUGGAAAUGCUCUUACCUAUAAAACAAGCCUAUGUGGGAGGAGUGGGAAGGUGUGGAUGGUGAUGUUUUCUUUUUAAAAAAAUUACAAAAAAUAACAGAGCACUUGUGUGCAUGCAGUGGGGUCCCAGUUCUGUGCAGUGUCAAGCUGCGUCACUGUUCCACUGCCUGGGCCUCAGUUUCCCCAGUCUUUGAAAAACUAUGACAGUUCUCAUUCUGCCUGCCUCACAAGUUGUGGGAGUCAUGUGAAAUGGGGUGCGAGCACGCUGUGUAAAUUAUGAAGUGCUUGCUGUAUACACAUGAGGUGCUGUCGUUUCUAUCUUGGGAAAGACCCUUUACUAUGAUACGGUGUUUUAUGGCUAAAAUGUUUAGUGAUUGUCUUGGUACUGGCACUUAACUAAGUGGCCAGGAUGUUGCUGUUGACUUUAGCUGUGUCAAAGUUCUCUGCACUGCCUCUAAGAAGUGUGCGUUCUAAGCAAGGCAAGAAAUCAGGGAAGAUAGAGAACAUCCCAGCCCCCCUGAAGACUUUGAGCCUGAUAACAAGAUGGCUCCAAUUUGGGGGACUGGAGUUUGAAGACCCUCCUGGGAUGUAUGUCUGAAAACCCUGUGCUCUUAGGGACCCAGCCUGCCUUCCAGUCUGUAUUCCCUGCCCAGCCGGGUACGUAGUCGUCUUCGGGGCCCAAUCCCAGCCUGGUCACAGCUAAAGUCAACCCUUUGGCCCUCACCCCUCCCCAGGGGGACUGGGCUCCUUCAGUUUCCAGAGAGCUUAACUACUCAGCUCCCAUUCACAACACACAUUUUUUUUUUUUUUUAAUUUCAGGGAAGGCUUCUCUGUGUCUGAGAUCUGUCCUUGUCAUCUACAACAGCUUGUGUUUCGGCUGCCAUUGGGUAUUGGCAAGUGUGUAAGGAGACAGGGUGAAACCAGAGGACUCAGGCAAGGGCCUGCCCUUCACCUGGGCCAGGUGCCCUCCAGCAAGACCUCAGAUCAGCCCCUAGGCUACAGGGGCAGCUGAACUUUAAUUGUUCCACAUGCAUGUGCCCGUGUCUGUGUGCACGCGCGCACACACACACACACACACACACUCACACUUGCACACACAUAUUUGUGCACUCACACAAGUGCAUAUUCCAGGAUAUUCUCCUCGUGGAGUGAAAUUUUAGUGCUCUAAGUAUUAAAGUUUGAGGCACCAACAGGCUGUCUUAAAAGGCUCAUUCAGCUUGUCUGCCUUGGAGCUAUUUUAUUUAUAAUUCUUCUUGUCACGUCAAAGAACUCUGUGUUUCUUGCAGACUGUGUUCGGGUGGUUGAGUGUUUUGGUUUUUGGCUACAGCUGGUUAAUUUUUCCGAAUCUGUAGGGCCAGGUGUGCAUUGACAAGCUUUUUCCCAGCUCGAGAGGUUUCCCAGUGAGCCUCGGAGUCCUGCUAUAAAUUCCCAGUGCUCUAUGUGCGGUAGACUUCCAAUUUUAGAGAGAUUUUGGGAGGGUGGGAGGGCGCCGGCAGUACCUUCGUCCAGUGCCUCCUCUGAGACACAAGGUCAAGAGCGAGGCACACUGUGGGGCAAAAGCUUGCAGCAUGUUCAGAGUAUGAGGGAGCUGAAGCUGGUUAAUGAGUAAGGUAUUAGCAAAAGUGCAAACUUCUGCUUCAAACUAAAAAUCCCUGUCUCUGCCUCUCAUUGAAAACCAAACUCAGGACUGAAAAUAUCUCAUAUCUCUGGUUAUUUUGAAAUACAAUUUAAAAUUCUGCAUUUAUCAUGUAAAAAUUAUAUAGAUGUUUAUUUCCAAGGCCAGUAUGUAUUCUUGUCUGAUAGCUUGCAUUACUACUUGUUUUGGUAAGAGAAAAUGAACUUCGAGUGCUUUUGAAAUUAGGAAUUAGACCAAGAGUUGCUCUAUAAAUAGCCAGAAACAAAACGAAAGCAUCCGUUUUCUUCUUUGGUAUCUUCCUUUGGAAGCAUUAAAUAGUAUCUUUUCUUGCAGUGGUAAAUGUUGUUAAAAUAUUUUUGUACUUUUUGUAGAAAGGGCAUAUGUGAAAAAUUAGACCUUAACCUUGAAGGUGACCAUAUUAAAAAACUGGGAUACAUAGAUAUAGGAAAAUGAAACUGUCUUUCUGUAGGAAGUUACUCCUUUGUGUUGUGCAAAAUCAUACUGGAUUUUACAAGAAUCCAAUAAGAGCAUUUCGAUAAAUAUGACCAGUGUGUUCACAUUUCAAGCAAUUUGUAAUUGGCAGCCCUCCCCCCUCCUCAAAAUGCCACGUUCAGCCUGCGUUCCUUCUGCGGGCAGCUAAGUGCUGUCGCAAUCCUUUUAAAGAAGCAAUCCGUGAAGUCUUGAUUUGAAAAAAAAAAAAAUCCUGCAAUCCCUUGCAAUUUAACAAUGAGCCAUUUUGAGUUUUAAAUCAGCUUUUUCCUCUCCCUGUCUUUUUUUUUCCUUUAUUCUAGAGGCUUCUAAUUUAACCAGCCCACUGAAGAACUCUGUAUCUAAGAAAUACUAGUAAACUUCUCUCAUUUCAGCUACGGGGAAAAGAAAUUUCAACUGACUUUCAUUAGCAUUUCAGCAUUAUUUAAAAAUUUGAAGCAUAAACAUAAAUAUUUGAGACAGUUUUUAAAGUUUAAAAUUACACAGCUCAAUUCUGCCUAGAUGUGAUUCAAAAGAACUUUUGAUCAUUAAAGUAAUAACAAUUUAAGACCCCAGGAAAGGAUGGAGAAAGUGCAAAAACACUUCCAACAAUUCGGGCUUCUUGGCUGUAAAAGGAAAGAAGACUUUGGAUUUUGGGGGAGUAAAAUUCUUUCCAAUUUUUCUGAUGUACUUUCAUUUUCUUGGAAAUUGGUACUUCCUACCAGAAACUAUAAAACUCCAAAUUCUAAUAUAUGUUAAGUUGCUAAUAAAAUGCUAAAAUUAACACAAUCAAUUCUUUAGAAAAAUGAUAUUUUCCCAGUUUAUGAUGAUUCCAUUUUAGAAUAGAAUCAUUCUAAAACGAUUCCACUUCUCUUUGAAAGGUGAUUUUUAUUAUUUUUUUUUUAAUUUUAGUUUGUACUGUACCUUCUCUUGCUUCUUACAUAAAGCCAAGAAUCUUGUUUUGGCAUAGGAUGCAUGCAUAGAUAAUCAGAUUUGCUCCAUCAUCUUUUUGUGCUGUUACUACUUUGGCAGGGAAAAUAUUAAUUUUCGUUGCUCAUCUAUACAAAAGCAAAUUCUCCCUACUGGUGUGUGUCUAUUCCAAACAAUAUAUUAAUGUAUCUACAUUUGGUUAAACACACAUUAAUCAUAGAUUCCUUGUGGUUUUAAGCUUUCCUUUAUUAGAGAAAUGAUACUAACCCCUUAAGAAUGCCUUUGGGGUUUUAGACUUCUUUUCAAGUUGGGGGCACUGGUGACACUUUGUGGGUAGCAAACGUGUGAACUUCCCAAGUGGGUUGAAGUCCAUGGUGCCAGGCUCCUAGCAGCUUGCUAACCAGCCAGCAGCAUGGAAUGGGGUCAGCACCCAGCAGCCCCGAGAGCAGAGGACAUGAUGCUUGGUGUGGCCAGCUGCAGACAGCUUCUGGGUGUUCUCUGUAUUUCAGGAAAGAAGAAGGGGAGAUGGUGUCCUCAGACACCAUUGUCCUGCAGCCAGGCUGCGUUACUGUUGGUGGUAAAUCAACACCAAAUGUGACCUACACGGGGGACUGCAGCAAAAGAUUGUGAAAAGCCUUCAUUAUGUCUGGAAGGAGGAGAGUGCCUUCUGUGGCAGUUUGCUCCAUCCUGUCCCUGUCUAGACCACAUCAGCUCUCAGCAGCUUCUGCUGUCUUACAUCUAUGGAAAUCAGGAGUUUUUUGUUCUCUCCUUCCUCAACUUUCUCUGUAAGAAAUCAUACCUGUGUGCGGCUACGUAUUUCUGAUAAUAUGUAUAUACUCACACAUAUUUACCCAAAGGAAAGGGAUGCUAUAGGUUUUGUGCGUGAGUGAGAGUAAAGCCUUCACAAAGUAGCAGCACAAGUUACCCCGAGCCAGGCGUAUUAAAAUGGACUCUCCAAUCUGCAAACUCCUCUGAGACAAAGGCGAAAGAAAGAAAACAGAAGCCUGGUUUGCCUUUUUACGGAAUAACCAAAGCUGCUUAGUAGCAACUCUGAAGGUGCAUUGUCAGGGCUGAUCCAAGUGGCAUCUUACUUCGGCAGAUUUGCGAUCCCAGGUUUAUCGGGCCAGCUUUGGACACAUCACAGUUCUUGACGUGCAAACUGAAGGAUCAGAACCCGAGUGGGUUUCACUCACAUGUAUCUGCUUGCUUUGACUAGAUUAAAUGCAUCUGCUUACUAAGUCCUCGUGAUUUCUUGGGUCCUGGAAAUUUAACACUAUUAAAUGUCGCUAUGAGGAGAGAAGAGAAUUGAAACUGAAGCCCACCCCCAGCCUUCUGAGGCUGGACCGCUGGCCAAGGGCAAAGGAGAGAGAGCCAGGGCUCAAGGGUAUGGCAGGAAGUUGCCGGCCGCAUUCCCAUUAGGCAGAUCUUGGGAGAAAUCAGGAAAAAAUAACUGUAUAAGGCUGAUACUAUAAACAUCCUGGUACAGCGACAGGCUUCCUAGGACUUAUUUUCAAACAUCUGACCUCAGGCAUGGUUGUGGCCUAAAGGGACAAGCCAAGUUUUUCUUCCAGGAAAAUUGUCCAGCAUAAUGCUCAUCAGCAAUGUAAAUUUUCCAUCUUCCCUUUUUGAGUCUUUGAGCUCACUUUAAAAAUAUUUUUUACUUUGAAUAAUAUGUGAUGGCAAGUAGUGAGGGGGGGGAAAGCGUCCAACUGAAUAAUACCAGUGGAAUUACCUGAGCGCUAUUAUUUUCCUAGAAUUAAGCAGAAUUUGUUUUCUGAAUUUGCAACCAAAUUGUGUGUAAAUCCUUGCCAAGUACGGGAGAGUUUUAAAAAAGUGGGUGUUCUUGAAUAUUCUUCUGACUCACUUGAUUUCUUGUUUUAUCAAAUAAAAAUUGGAAGGAGGGAAAAUACAUUAAAUUAACUUAUUACUGUGUGAGAGCAAGAAAAAAAUGGCCAAUAAAAAGAAGGUGAGCAAGCUGGUGUGAUUAUACAACGAUUUCAGGUGAAAAUUACAAAGCUAAUAUCCUGGCAUCUACUGCAUUCAGUAAUGAUACCGUUGUCAAAUUUGUAUUUGUGCCAAUGGAACAAAGUUGUAAGUGGCGUAAUGGAAGAUAAUCUCUUUUUCUUUGUGGCUUUUUAAAAUUCAGUGUUUUAAUCCACUAUUUAAUUCAUGUUUUAAUCACAAAACGUAUAUCACGUUAGUUGUAAUAUUUAUAGUGUUUGGAAAAGUGAUUAUAAAUAGAUUAUGGUGUGGUUGUUGGAUACAGUCUUUUAUUUCUUCACGAUUAUAUCUCAAAGGUAUGCAGCAUUUUCAGAAUUUGUGCCUGAGAAGAGUUUUACAUGGGAAGUCUCCAUAUAUUUAGUUCAGAACCCCCAUUUGUUUGGUCGUUCUGAGCUUGCUCAUUAGGUUAGAAAAGUGAGAUUCGGCAUUAAAAGGGCCUGGUGCUUAUACUGCUAUGAUCCCUGCCCUCGGCCCUGUCCCUACGCAGUUUGUUCUGCUGGAGCUUCUGAACUUACUAAACCUCAAGAUGUCUUUCAUGUUUUGGAAGUGGUUGAACCGUGCAGUAAGGAGGGGCACAGGAGAAGCUGGUAAUGGCAGUUGGUGGCUGAGCUUGUCCCUGGUGUGGGUGGAGCAGAAGGGGGCUCACACAGGGAUCCGAGUAGCUUUUGGGGACUGCCAGUGCAGUCACCCUGGGUGGAUGUAAUGCUCCUUUCCCACACUUCCUGGUUGGGAACUCUGACAGUGAAGACUUUAUAAAGGACGGUGCUAGACAAGACUGAUUCUCCCUGUCCUUCUGUCAGAGGCAUGGCCUUCCUGAGCUCAGGCUGUCUUCUGAGGAAGGGGCACAGGGCUCCAGGGCUCCUGGCCCUGGGUCCCACAGCUCUUGAGGCAGAGGCCACAAUGCACCCUCUGCAGGAAAGAGUGAAAUGGCUCCUGCUUGGGCCGAAUCUUUACUGCUGCUGGCAGCCAUGGAAAGUGAAAGUUGGUAAAAAUUCCAGUGAAAACGUGGGCUGGAAAUGUUUCGGCUCUGUUUUCUAAACCCUAGUUUUCUGAUAGGGAAAAAGCAAGCUAACCCUAGUAAAAAGAAGUAAGAUUCCACACCCCAGACUCCCAGGAAAGCAACUGGGAAGAUUUCUUAGCAUAUCCUGGAUUCCCGCCCCCCCCCAUUCUGUGUCAUGGGUUGUGGUGAUGAUGCUGGUGUGUAGUGUCCAGCACUAGCCAAGGCCAUGGGGUCCACCGAGUUUGGACAGCCCCGGGUCCUCACAGUGCUGUCUAGCCAAGCCUUAACUAAGUGGCCAGUUUUCCCCUCCUGGGCAAUCCAAUCCAACGUGGAGUGGAGUUUCCUGGGCAGCUGGGCAUGCAAGGAACUUUUGAAUUUACCAAUGGCAUAAAAAUAUAUAUUUUUAUGACAACGGGCAAGUUUCAAUUGGUUGACAGAAAUGGCGAGAUGUGACGUCAAGGGACACUGGUUAGAAUGCCAAGGCCAGGGGGGGUAGUAGGGGGGAGACAGGCACAGAGAGUGGGAUGGGGCCCCGAGGCCAUGUUUCUCUCGGGCCCUGGCCAUCAACGGGGCCAUCGCUGGCGUUCAGGAAGAGCUAGGUCGGCGUGGCUCUGAGCCAGAGCAUACCCAGGCAGGGGGAAGGGGUCUGAGUGUAGCGACUGUGUGCUGACGGGUGUUCCCCAGGGCCAGAGUCCCAGGCCUGCGCCUCUGCAGUUUGCGGACGGCUCGGACGCCCCUGCAAAGCCGGCGGGGAAAGACGCUGCAGACUCCUUGACAUCCUAACCAGUGUCCAGGCCAUGGAGCCCAGGCGUUCCCCUUCCCCUGAAGGAGCCCAGGAAAGAACAGUGUGGCCUGGAGCCAGCAGUGUCGCCGUCGGGCUGAGAGCAAAGCUGCGGCCUUGAACUUCUCCCCGCAGUUUCUGCGCCCUGAGUCAGGGAAGCAGGAAGUUGUUUCCACAGGGAAGGAAGAGGGCGAGUUCCGAGCUGGGCAGUGGCUCUGGGCACUGUGCCCCGGCCCAUUCCAUGCCUCCCUAGGCACCGUGAGCGCCCCCCAACUUUGCCAGGCACCUCGCGCGACCCCCUUACAUCUCCGGCAUAGUGCGCUGUCCUCCCACUCCCGCUCGCGGGAUCCGCUCCACCACAGCCCAAAGGGUACCGCGCCCCUUGCUCCGCGGGGCCGGUGGUGUCCGGGAAGAGGCUGCUGGGCGCCCGUGCGCGCGACCUGCCCUGGGGAAAGCCACUGCCACUGUCGGCCACGAGUACUGUCCUAGUGCCUGGUCUAGAGCUCCAAGAUACACAAUGGUCCCACUGAAAUAAGCCAGGAGACCCUCGCGCUGCCCGCAGCGCGCACAGGGCUGCGGGCAGGCCGCGACUGUCGGUCCGCGGAGGGUCCCGGAGCCGGGCCCGAGCGUGCGCGCGCGUCCCGCUGCCCGCAAUCAUGGCAGCCGGCGCCUUGGAGCGCAGCCGCCGAGCGCGCCCCGGCAGCCGCUUCGGUGCCAGGGAGGUGGGGGCGGGCCGGCCCGGGAGCUUGCGCCUGCCUGCCCGCCUCGGUCGCGCGGGCCCCAGGUCGCGAAGCAAAAGGCUAGUGGGUCCCCGCGGCGUGGCGCCCCUGCUCGGGCG
rnacentral:lncRNA from 1 species